rnacentral:rRNA from 1 species
GAUGAACGCUAGCUACAGGCUUAACACAUGCAAGUCGAGGGGAAACGACAUCGAAAGCUUGCUUUUGAUGGGCGUCGACCGGCGCACGGGUGAGUAACGCGUAUCCAACCUGCCCAUCACUUGGGGAUAACCUUGCGAAAGUAAGACUAAUACCCAAUGAUAUCUCUAGAAGACAUCUGAAAGAGAUUAAAGAUUUAUCGGUGAUGGAUGGGGAUGCGUCUGAUUAGCUUGUUGGCGGGGUAACGGCCCACCAAGGCAACGAUCAGUAGGGGUUCUGAGAGUAAGGUCCCCCACAUUGGAACUGAGACACGGUCCAAACUCCUACGGGAGGCAGCAGUGAGGAAUAUUGGUCAAUGGGCGAGAGCCUGAACCAGCCAAGUAGCGUGCAGGAAGACGGCCCUAUGGGUUGUAAACUGCUUUUAUAAGAGAAUAAAGUGAGAGUCGUGACUCUUUUUGUAUGUACCUUAUGAAUAAGGACCGGCUAAUUCCGUG